rnacentral:rRNA from 1 species
GGCUCAGUUCAGAUCGUAGGCUGCAACUCGCCUACGUGAAGGAGGAAUCGCUAGUAAUCGCAGGUCAGCAUACUGCGGUGAAUACGUUCCCGGGCCUUGUACACACCGCCCGUCACACCAUGGAAGUUGGCCACGCCCGAAGCCGUUACUCCAACCCUCGGGAGGAGGACGUCGAAGGUGGGGCUGAUGACUGGGGUGAAGUCGUAACAAGGUAUCCGUACCGGAAGGUGCGGAUGGAUCACCUCCUAA